rnacentral:rRNA from 1 species
AUGAAUGCGCGUCUCAUCAGGCCUUAUUCAAGAGAGGAGGUGAAAAAAGCUCUUGAGUCAAUUGGAGACCUGAAAGCACCGGGACCGGAUGGUAUGCCUGCUGUGUUUUAUAAGAAGUUCUGGGAGCUGGUGGGAAUGAAGGUGCAAGAAGAGGUGUUGGGGGUGCUUAAUGGUAAUCCUAUGCCCGAGUCAUGGAAUGAAACCACCAUCGUCUUGAUACCACAGAAUAAUAAUCCUGAGAGGGGCAUCCAAAUCUGUAAUGGGGCGCCAAAGAUAAACCAUCUCUUCUUUGCAGAUGAUUCCCUUAUUGUGAUGAAGGCAACUACUCAAGGUGCACCUAGACUGCAGUCUAUCUUGGCUUUAUACGAGUCCCAAUCAGGUCAAAUGAUAAAUAAGAAUAAGUCGUCGGCAACCUUCAACAAGGGCACAACAGCAGCGGUUAAAAGUGAGGACGAUCUGUGGAUUCCGCGGGGAGAGACGAGGAGGCCGCGAACUCGUCGGGGCAGCGUGCAGAUUGAUCGAGCUAGUGAUCUAAUGGAUCCAUUCACCGAAAAUUGGGAUGAAGAUCUAGUCAAGGAGCUGUUCUGCCAGGAGAACACAAAGGAGAUAUUGGCAAUCCCAGUGAAGCAUGGCAUGGAUGACCAAGUUGCAUGGCACUUUGACCCAAAAGGAGUGUUCUCUGUUAAGUCUGCCUACCACUUGGGGAUCAGGCUUAGGGAGACAAACAAAAACAGAGAUGUGAGCCCCUGGGUACCGGCACCUGCGGAAUCGCAGAAGUGA